UGAUAAGCUUUCUAAGUGUGAUUCGAAA
rnacentral:sRNA from 1 species